UGGGGAAUAUUGGACAAUGGGCGCAAGCCUGAUCCAGCCAUACCGCGUGGGUGAAGAAGGCCUUCGGGUUGUAAAGCCCUUUUGUUGGGAAAGAAAAGCAGCCGGUUAAUACCCGGUUGUUCUGACGGUACCCAAAGAAUAAGCACCGGCUAACUUCGUGCCAGCAGCCGCGGUAAUACGAAGGGUGCAAGCGUUACUCGGAAUUACUGGGCGUAAAGCGUGCGUAGGUGGUUGUUUAAGUCUGUCGUGAAAGCCCUGGGCUCAACCUGGGAAUUGCGAUGGAAACUGGGCGACUAGAGUGUGGCAGAGGGUAGUGGAAUUCCUGGUGUAGCAGUGAAAUGCGUAGAGAUCAGGAGGAACAUCCGUGGCGAAGGCGACUGCCUGGGCCAACACUGACACU
rnacentral:rRNA from 1 species